rnacentral:rRNA from 1 species
GAUGAACGCUGGCGGCGUGCCUAAUACAUGCAAGUCGAACGGACAGACGCGGAGCUUGCGCGUCUCACGUUAGCGGCGGACGGGAGAGUAACGCGUGGAUCCCGUACCUGUAAGACUGGGAAAACUUCGGAAAACCGGCGCUAAUACCAUAUAAUAUCUUGAACCACAUGGUUCGAUAGAGAAAGACGGUGUUGCUGGCACUUAUAGCUGGAUCCGCGCCGCAUUAGCUGGUUGGGAAGGUACCGGCUUACGAAGGCAACGAUGCGUAGACGAACUAAGAGGGUGAUCGGCCACACUGGAAGGUGGACACGGUCCAUACUCCUACGGGAGGGCGCAGUAGGGAAUCUUCCGCAACGGGCGAAAGCCUGACGGAGCAGCGCGGCGUGAGAGAUGAAGGUCUUGGGAGCGUAAAACUCGGUUAUGAGGUAAGAACAAAUGUGUAAUUAACUAUGCACGUAUUGACGGUACCUAGUCAGAAAGCCACGGCUAACUACGUG